ensembl:snoRNA Gm22159 small nucleolar RNA SNORA17
UCUGCCUCUACAGGCAUUGUAGGGGCAGCAGCUGUGUCAUAUAGGCAUCAGUAGAUAGCAGAGAGGAGAUGCUAUGUCCAUGCUCACUAUUCUACCUGUGGAAAUCUAAACAAUUAGUAACCUAACAUU